UACAGAGGUCUCAAGCGUUGUUCGGAUUCAUUGGGCGUAAAGGGUGCGUAGGUGGCGCCGUAAGUCGGGUGUGAAAUUUCGGAGCUUAACUCCGAAACUGCAUUCGAUACUGCGGUGCUUGAGGACUGGAGAGGAGACUGGAAUUCCUGGUGUAGCGGUGGAAUGCGCAGAUAUCAGGAGGAACACCGGUGGCGAAGGCGGGUCUCUGGGCCGUAACUGACGCUGAGGAGCGAAAGCAUGGGGAGCGAACAGG
rnacentral:rRNA from 1 species